rnacentral:ncRNA from 2 species
CACCUUCACCCGGGGGGUCCCGACAAGGGGCUGAGAUACUGAUGGCCCGUCCGCCUUGAUGGCGACGCGCAGCGCAGUGACCCGAUGAACCUGAUCCAGUUCAUACUGGCGUAGGGAUGGUGCACCGGCUGCGCG